rnacentral:tRNA from 1 species
GAAAGAGGCCCGCGGCACUGAAGACUGCUAAUCCUCACCCCCUCGGUUGGACUCCGAGGCUCAUUCA